AUACGGAGGCACCGAGCGUUAUCCGGAUUUAUUGGGUUUAAAGGGUGCGCAGGCGGCCAUUUAAGUCAGCGGUUAAAUCGUGGGGCUCAACCCCAUUCUGCCGUUGAUACUGGGUGGCUUGAUUGCGGUCGAGGUUGGCGGAAUUCGUUGUGUAGCGGUGAAAUGCAUAGAUAUGACGAAGAACACCGAUUGCGUAGGCAGCUGACCAGACCGCAAAUGACGCUCAUGCACGAAAGUGCGGGGAUCGAACAGGAUUAGAUACCCUGGUAGUCCGCACAGUAAACGAUGAAUACUUGUUUUCGGCGAUAUAAUGUCGGAGGCAAAGCGAAAGCGAUAAGUAUUCCACCUGGGGAGUACGCCGGCAACGGUGAAACUCAAAGGAAUUGACGGGG
rnacentral:rRNA from 1 species